rnacentral:rRNA from 1 species
CAGCCGCCGCGGUAAUACGUAGGUGGCAAGCGUUGUCCGGAUUUAUUGGGCGUAAAGCGAGUGCAGGCGGUUCAAUAAGUCUAAUGUGAAAGCCUUCGGCUUAACCGGAGAAUUGCAUCGGAAACUGUUGAACUUGAGUGCAGAAGAGGAGAGUGGAACUCCAUGUGUAGCGGUGGAAUGCGUAGAUAUAUGGAAGAACACCAGUGGCGAAGGCGGCUCUCUGGUCUGUAACUGACGCUGAGGCUCGAAAGCAUGGGUAGCGAACAGGAUUAGAUACCCUGGUAGUCCAUGCCGUAAACGAUGAGUGCUAAGUGUUGGGAGGUUUCCGCCUCUCAGUGCUGCAGCUAACGCAUUAAGCACUCCGCCUGGGGAGUACGACCGCAAGGUUGAAACUCAAAGGAAUUGACGGGGGCCCGCACAAGCGGUGGAGCAUGUGGUUUAAUUCGAAGCAACGCGAAGAACCUUACCAGGUCUUGACAUCUAGUGCCAUCCUAAGAGAUUAGGAGUUCCCUUCGGGGACGCUAAGACAGGAGGUGCAUGGCC